rnacentral:misc_RNA from 1 species
UCCUGGUUUCCCAGGCAGUCCCAUCAGAGUGCCUUCUUACGAAGUAGCAACUGACGGCAAGGGUUGCGCUCGUUAGAGGACUUAACCCAACAUCUCACGACACGAGCUGACGACGGCCAUGCAGCACCUGUGUAUCUGUCUGAACCGAAGCCCAAAAGAUCGUAUUUCUACGACUGUCAAAUACAUGUCAAGCCUAGGUAAGGUUCCUCGCGUAACGUCGAAUUAAACCACAUGUUCCACCGCUUGUGCGGGCCCCCGUCAAUUUCUUUGAGUUUUAAUCUUGCGACCGUACUCCCCAGGCGGAUCACUUAACGCGUUAGCUACGACACUAAUCCUGUAAAACAGAACUAACAUCUAGUGAUCAUCGUUUACGGCGUGGACUAC